CCGCGGCUCCGCGCCGGCGCAGGCUGUGCGGCGGAUGGGGUGGGCGCAGCGGCCCCGCGCUUCCUGCCGCCUCCCGCGGCCGCGCAGCCCCGCAGCGCCGCGGCCCGCUGGGGAGGGGGAAAAGGAAAAAAGAAAAAGAAAGAAAAAAAGAAAAAAUAAAAGGCCGCGUUUAACGUAGUCGUGCGCUGUUUGGGUCUGUUCGCGGGGAUUUGCGUUGUUUGAGUCUAGUUCGCGUAAUUUGGCGUUGUUUGGGUUUGCUCGCGAGGCUGCGGCCCGGCGGCGCUGCUUUUUAGUCACUUUGCCACACUAUCCUGCCUCCCCCCCCCCCCAGCCCUCCAUUUCUCUGUACAGAUUCUGUGUGUUGUUUUCUUGUUUUCUUGUUUUUUUUUUUAACCAGAAAGCCGGCAGCCUGCCGCAGGCACCACCCCCGCCCGCCUGGUCACCAACACGGGUGCAAAGAUGCAGCCUGGCCUUUCCCCUGCGUCCCUGCCGUAAGGGCGCUUGCCAGCCGACGCUGAGGCCUGCGGACACCCCAAGUCUUUCCUGGGCUUCCUGCAAUCUCGUUGAAACUGGUCCAAAGAGGACUUUAAAGCGCUUCAGAGAAGCUUGAGCCAAAUUGGUGGAAGCUACGAUGAGAAACGAAAUUUGGUGGCAGUGCUCGCUGUAAAACACAGCGGAUGAUAUCACGCACCUCAAAGGAUUUCAACCGAUGCAGCCGACACCACUGAGCUGGAAGAGGGAGCGGGAUGUAAUCAUAGCAAUCUUGAUGAACACUUCUGCUCGCUGUUCCACUGUAGCCAAAAAAUUAAAAAAAAAUUUAAAAAAGGAAGACAAGCGUCAUGGGAGAUUGCUGAGGGAAUGUGAGCGGUAUGAAAACGAGAGAUGAUUAGGAGCCGCGCGGGUUCCCCGGGGGCGGCUGGAGCUCCCAAACCAGCAGGCGGGGAGAGGCGGAGGGGCUGGGGAGGAGACAAGGAUGUCGGUGCACUCCCAAGCACGCUCUUUUCCUAUGAGAUCUAUAAGGAGCUAGAAACGGAGCUAGACUGCUCUCCCCCGUGAAAAAAAMUCUUCAGCGUGCUUUGAAAGCCAU
rnacentral:lncRNA from 1 species